CGGAAACCGGAGCUAAUACCGGAUAAUAUAUUGAACCGCAUGGUUCAAUAGUGAAAGACGGUUUUGCUGUCACUUAUAGAUGGAUCCGCGCCGCAUUAGCUAGUUGGUAAGGUAACGGCUUACCAAGGCAACGAUGCGUAGCCGACCUAAGAGGGUGAUCGGCCACACUGGAACUGAGACACGGUCCAG
rnacentral:rRNA from 1 species